GAUGAACGCUGGCGGCGUGCCUAAUACAUGCAAGUCGAGCGAACAGACGAGGAGCUUGCUCCUCUGACGUUAGCGGCGGACGGGUGAGUAACACGUGGAUAACCUACCUAUAAGACUGGGAUAACUUCGGGAAACCGGAGCUAAUACCGGAUAAUAUAUUGAACCGCAUGGUUCAAUAGUGAAUGACGGUUUUGCUGACACUUAUAGAUGGAUCCGCGCCGCAUUGGCUAGUUGGUAAGGUAACGGCUUACCAAGGCAACGAUGCGUAGCCGACCUGAGAGGGUGCUCGCACACACGGGACCUAGAACCGGGUCCCGACUCCUCCGGGGGGCCGCCGUAGGGAAUCUUCCGCAAUGGGCGAACCCUUAACCGGCCAACCCCCGUGUAGGGAUGAAGGUCUUCGGAUCGUAAAACUCUGUUAUUAGGGAAGAACAAAUGUGUAAGUAACUAUGCACGUCUUGACGGUACCUACUCAGAAAGCCACGGCUAACUACGUG
rnacentral:rRNA from 1 species